rnacentral:rRNA from 1 species
AUCCCUUGGCUCAACCAAGGAAGGGCAUUUGAAACUGUCUGGCUUGAGUACGGGAGGGGGAAGUGGAAUUCCCGGUGUAGAGGUGAAAUUCGUAGAUAUCGGGAGGAACACCGGUGGCGAAGGCGGCUUCCUGGACCGAUACUGACGCUGAGACGCGAAAGCUUGGGGAGCAAACAGGAUUAGAUACCCUGGUAGUCCACGCCGUAAACGUUGGGCACUAGGUGUUGCGGGUAUUGACCCCUGCAGUGCCAAGGGCGAAUUCC